rnacentral:rRNA from 1 species
GACGAACGCUGGCGGCGUGCCUAAUACAUGCAAGUAGAACGCUGAAGGAGGAGCUUGCUUCUCUGGAUGAGUUGCGAACGGGUGAGUAACGCGUAGGUAACCUACCUGGUAGCGGGGGAUAACUAUUGGAAACGAUAGCUAAUACCGCAUAAGAGUAGAUGUCGCAUGACAUUUGCUUAAAAGGUGCAAUUGCAUCACUACCAGAUGGACCUGCGUUGUAUUAGCUAGUUGGUGAGGUAACGGCUCACCAAGGCAACGAUACAUAGCCGACCUGAGAGGGUGAUCGGCCACACUGGGACUGAGACACGGCCCAGACUCCUACGGGAGGCAGCAGUAGGGAAUCUUCGGCAAUGGCCGGAAGUCUGACCGAGCAACGCCGCGUGAGUGAAGAAGGUUUUCGGAUCGUAAAGCUCUGUUGUAAGAGAAGAACGAGUGUGAGAGUGGAAAGUUCACACUGUGACGGUAGCUUACCAGAAAGGGACGGCUAACUACGUG